AGAGUUUGAUCCUGGCUCAGGACCCACCUUUGGCGGCGUGCCUAACCAUGCAAGUCGAACGGGACUGGGGGCAACUCCAGUUCAGUGGCGGACGGGUGCGUAACACGUGAGGAACAUGACUUUCGGUGGGGGAUAGCCGGCCCAACGGCCGGGUAAUACCGCGUACGACCUUUCGGGGACAUCCCCGGCUGGUGAAGGCAGCAAUGCGCCGAAAGAGUGCCUCGCGGCCUAUCAGCUAGUUGGUGGGGUAAUGGCCCACCAAGGCGACAACGGGUAGCUGGUCUGAGAGGAUGGCCAGCCACAUUGGGACUGAGACACGGCCCACACUCUUACGGGAGGCAACAGUGGGGAAUAUUGCGCAAUGGCCGAAAGCCUGACGCAGCAACUCCGCGUGUGGGAUGACGGCCUUCGGGUUGUAAACCACUGUCGGGAGGGACGAAUGCCCCGCAAGGCGAGUGACGGUACCUCCAAAGGAAGCACCGACUAACUCCGUGCCAGCAGCCGCGGUUAAUAGGGAGGGUGCGAGCGUUGUCCGGAAUCACUGGGCGUAAAGGGCGCGAACGCGGCCUCAUCCGUAGGGGGUGAACUCCUGCUGCUUACACGCAUGGCUGCCUUCUAAACUGUCGGGCUAGAGCACAGUUAUAGGCAGGUGGAAUUCCCGGUGUAGCGGUGGAAUGUCUAACAGAUCGGGAAGAACAUCUGUGGCGAGGGCGGCCUGCUGGGCUGUUUGCUGACGCGUGUAGGCUGCGACAGCGUGGGGGAGCAAACAGGAUUAGAUACACCUGGGUAGUCCACGCCGUAAACGAUGGACACUAGGCGUCGGGGGGAGCGACCCUCCCGGUGCCGUCGCUAACGCAGUAAGUGUCCCGCCUGGGGAUAUAUUUUUUCAAGGCUGAAACUCAAAGGAAUUGACGGUGGCCCCGCACAAGCGGUGGAGCAUGUGGUUUAAUUCGAAGCCACGCGAAGAACCUUACCUGGGCUUGACAUGCACGGGAAAGCCGGUGGAAACAUCGGCCCCUCUUCGGAGUCCGUGCACAGGUGCUGCAUGGCUGUCGUCAGCUUGUGUCGUGAGAUGUUGGGUUAAGUCCCGCAACGAGCGCAACCCUCGUCCCUAGUUACCAGCGGGUAAAGCCGGGCACUCUAGGGAGACUGCCGGUGUCAAACCGGAGGAAGGUGGGGAUGACGUCAAGUCAUCAUGGCCCUUACGUCCAGGGCGACACACGUGCUACAAUGGCCGGUACAGAGCGUCGCCAACCCGCGAGGGUGCGCCAAUCGCUAAAAGCCGGUUUAAGUUCGGAUUGUAGUCUGCAACCCGACUACAUGAAGCCGGAAUCGCUAGUAAUCGCGGAUCAGCCACGCCGCGGUGAAUACGUUCCCGGGCCUUGUACACACCGCCCGUCACGCCAUGGAAGCUGGGGGGACCUGAAAAACGGUGGGCUAACCGCAAGGGGGCAGCCGUCAAAGGUCUUUUCAAAGACUGGGGCGAAGUCGUAACAAGGUAACC
rnacentral:rRNA from 1 species